CAGCCACCACAUAAUCUAUAACCUCUGUUGCAAUAUUGUGGAAGGACAUAAGAAGGGGCAUAAGGAGGACAUCCAAAUGGAUUAAGGCUAUCAUGAAGUGCUCUAACUAGUGCUUCAUCAUUAUCUGUUUGGCAACUAUAUCCUGGAAAAGGGUCAAUUUUCAACACAAGCCCAAAGACAACACAGUGUGAACUUAAAAUAAACAGAACCUGAUAGGUAUAAAAACUUAAAACCUGGUCUCUUCCAAUCGUCAGCUUGAGAAAGUGCAAGAGCAUGAUCUGCUUCCUCUUUCUUCUUAUCGGCUCUAGCGCGCUCAUCCAAUGAUCUAGCUGGUGGCCGCCAGCUGGCCAUGUUUUCCUCCCCGCGAAACUGUCGGUGACGGCCGCCUCCACCCCCAACACCACCUCCUCGACUAGACCCACUUUUGAAAAUCUUACUGAGCCAUUUCAUUAACCGAGAUUUUCUCUCUGCGUAAGAAGAAACAAAGUCCCAUAAAUGCAAGGAUUCGAGAUAUGAUUGACACCUGAAGACGAGGAAGAAGAAGAUGGAGGAACCAUAGGAAUGGAAAGAAAGCUAUUUGUAUGUAUAAAAUCGGCUGAAAUAUGAUGAAAUCAAAGGAA
rnacentral:misc_RNA from 1 species